UGCAAUUGCUAUUUGGAGAAUGUUUAUGUUUUAUUGAUAAAAGAAUAUAAUUUUAUUACUAUCCAAUUACAUUCCUGAUCAACCUGUAUAAUACAUCAUCAAAUCAUAAGGUUUCACACUAAAACCACAAACAUUAAAGACAAUAGAUUCCAAUACACCACCGCAGUAUCACUACACUACUACAACACUGUACCCUCUACUGCACUGCUUCAUUGCUGGGAAAAGGCCACUCUGCUGCACUGGAUCCCAACCAUAGACUCCAGCUGUAGUGUUAGUAUGUUACCAUGUAAUCUGCUCUAACACGGUAUCCCCGACAGUUUUGGCAUUAAAUCCAUUAAUGAUCUGCAUGGAGAAAAAAUAAUUACCUAAUUAUAAAAAUUAAGCAGAUCUUGUGAUUGCUGUUGCUCCCAUCCAAUUGCAUCUAUUAAAACUUUGUCAUAUGCCUUUGAAAAGUUAAUAACAGGCAAACAAAUGCCCUUUUGCGGGAGAGGGAAAGAAAAUUAUAACAACUUUAAUAUGCAACAUCAUAAUCUGAUGACUCACUCACCUGACUCGUAAGUGAAGGUAUGACUUAAUGAACAAUGGAUUACACCGAUUUUGAAUUUUCUCAUUAGUAGGCUGCACAAAUGAAAGAUAAGGAAGUAACGUGUAAAAAAACUCCAAGACUUGGAAAAUUAGAAUAAAGAAAUUUAGUAUGGCAUUAAAACAAGAUUAUACAACUAAACAAUCUGGAUAAUCUUUCUCUAAGAAGAAUGCACAUAUAUAUCAGUACAUCGUAAAAUCAACUUUUAUUAUGAUCAGACCAGUGGUGGUUUGACUCGACAAAAGUACAAGUUUACAAUAAGUGCAGUAGAUAUAAUACUUAGAAACGUCUAUACAAGCCAAUGUAUAUGGACAUGCACAUAAUUCUUACCUAAAUUAUACAUUCAUGUGGUACAUUGGGAGAUUUUUUCAUGUUCAAGCAAGUUGGCAAGAUCAAACCCACCAUGGUCCUGCGUACAAAAUACUUAAUGAGAUCAGAGUUCAAAUCUCUGAGAAAAGUAGAAUGACCAGUUGAAUGCCAUCACUAGGUAGGAUAUAGAUUCAAAUAACAAGAUGGAGUUUUACACCUCAAAAGAUCAUGUAGGUAAAAAACAUGUAAAUUACCAAUGUCCAUACCAAGUAAUUGAGGUAUGCAAUAGCAAAAUAAACAACUACCUCUCAUUUUACCUUUUGAUUAACAACACACUUUUUAUAAUAUGCACGUGCGAGAGAGAGAGAGAGAGAGAGAGAGAGAGAGAGAGAGAGAGAGAGAGAGAGAGAGAGAGAGAGAGAGAGAGAGAGAGAGAGAGAGAGAGAGAGAGAGAGAGAGAGAGAGCAUACUCAGCAAAUGGGGGUAAGUGGGGGUAAAUGUCACUGCAAACAGUCUGGCUUUUCCUCUCUUUCCCUGAAGCAAAAACUCUAUUACCAGUUAUUUUGGCCAACAUGCAAAGCACAAAAGAUAGGUAAACUCAAUAUCAUCACUCAUAAAAGUCUGGUUACAAUAUUUCGCAAUGCUAAAGGUAAAAAGAAUUACAACAAGAAAUCAUACAAGGAUAUCUUACAUUCAUUUUAAUAAACUUAAUUAGGAAGGUGUUCCUAUUCUUAUUAAUUGGGUUAGAAGAUGAACAACUUAAAACAAAGAAUCAAAGAACAACAGAUAAGCAAUAAUGCAACAACUGAACAUAAGUAGAGCAAGAUCAACAAACCAUCUUUUGUCAUUUCAAAACUAAGAUAGGUGUUUUUUUUUUUUAAUUAUACAUAAAACAUUCAAAGAAAUAAUGUUUUUUUAAGAAAACUAGUUAUCAAUUAUAAUACAACAGGCAAUAGUCACCAUAAAUACUUCUUUUACAGAUUUGCAUCCAAACAAUGAACAACUAAACAAGAAGUUAGAUUGGAUUUUUUUUUUUUAUUGGCAUGAUUUUAGAUUCCAGAAGUCCAUUUUUU
rnacentral:lncRNA from 1 species